rnacentral:siRNA from 1 species
UGGCCAGUCAACGUUUUUAU